AUUGAACGCUGGCGGCAGGCCUAACACAUGCAAGUCGAAUGGUAACAGGAAGCAGCUUGCUGUUUCGCUGACGAGUGGCGGACGGGUGAGUAAUGUCUGGGAAACUGCCUGAUGGAGGGGGAUAACUACUGGAAACGGUAGCUAAUACCGCAUAACGUCGCAAGACCAAAGAGGGGGACCUUCGGGCCUCUUGCCAUCAGAUGUGCCCAGAUGGGAUUAGCUAGUAGGUGGGGUAACGGCUCACCUAGGCGACGAUCCCUAGCUGGUCUGAGAGGAUGACCAGCCACACUGGAACUGAGACACGGUCCAGACUCCUACGGGAGGCAGCAGUGGGGAAUAUUGCACAAAGGGCGCAAGCCUGAUGCAGCCAUGCCGCGUGUAUGAAGAAGGCCUUCGGGUUGUAAAGUACUUUCAGCGGGGAGGAAGGGAGUAAAGUUAAUACCUUUGCUCAUUGACGUUACCCGCAGAAGAAGCACCGGCUAACUCCGUG
rnacentral:rRNA from 1 species